GCCUAGCUCAGUUGGUGGAGCACGAGACUCUUAAUCUCAGGGUUGUGGGUUUGAAUCCCACCUUGGGCA